rnacentral:SRP_RNA from 1 species
GCUGUGUGUGGUGGCGGGCACCUGUAAUCCCAGCUACUCGGGAGGCUGAGGCAGAAGAAUUGCUUGAACCCGGGAGGCGGAGGUUGCGGUGAGCCGAGAUCACACCACUGAACUCCAGCCUGGGUGAGAGAGAGAUACUCUGUUUUGUUUUGUUUUGUUUGGUUUUUUCCUGAGACGGAGUCUCACUCUGUCGCCCAGGCUGGAGUACAGUGGUGUGAUCUUGGCUCACUGCAAGCUCCGCCUCCUGGGUUCAAGCCAUUCUCCUGCCUCAG